GACGAACGCUGGCGGCGUGCUUAACACAUGCAAGUCGAACGGAAAGGCCCUGCUUUUGUGGGGUUCUCGAGUGGCGAACGUGUGAGUAACACGUGAGUAACCUGCCCUUGACUUUGGUAUAACUUCAGGAAACUGGGGCUAAUACCGGAUAGGAUCUCCUGCUUCAUGGUGGGGGUUGGAUAGUUUCGGCGGUUGGGGAUGGACUCGCGGCUUAUCAGCUUGUUGGUGGGGUAGUGGCUUACCAAGGCUUUGACGGGUAGCCGGCCUGAGAGGGUGACCGGACAAAAUGGGACUGAGAGACGGCACAGAGUCGUACGGGAGGCAGCAGUGGGGAAUAUUGCAAAAUGGGAGGAAGCCUGAUGCAGCAACGCCGCGUGCGGGAUGACGGCCUUCGGGUUGUAAACCGAUGUCGCCUGUGACGAAGAGUGAGUGACGGUAAUGGGUAAAGAAGCACCGGCUAACUACGUG
rnacentral:rRNA from 1 species